rnacentral:pre_miRNA from 1 species
CUCUGUUCUUUUGCAUCUUUCAGACCAGGAUGAAAGAGCAGCAGAACUCAGCAG